rnacentral:rRNA from 1 species
CACGUAGGGCGCAAGCGUUGUCCGGAAUUAUUGGGCGUAAAGAGCUCGUAGGUGGUUUGUUACGUCUGCUGUGAAAUCCUAGGGCUUAACCCUGGGCUUGCGGACGAUACGGGCAGGCUGGAGUUCGGUAGGGGAGACUGGAAUUCCUGGUGUAGCGGUGAAAUGCGCAGAUAUCAGGAGGAACACCGGUGGCGAAGGCGGGUCUCUGGGCCGAUACUGACGCUGAGGAGCGAAAGCGUGGGGAGCGAACAGG